UUGGUAGUUUUAUUUUAUUACUUCUAUCAUGAUUGGUUAAUCUGGCUGUCAUUCAGGAAACUGGACAAUGAAUCGGUUCGCGCCUUUCUACAUUUAAAAAUAUGACCGUUAUUGUUGUCUUUCUGUGAGUGAGGCGGCUAACUGUGAGCUGCUGCUCGUUAUAACUGACUGCUCGGUCGGUCCCAAAUUAUUUCAUAUUUGCCUGUACAUUUUUUAUUUAUUUUGAGCGAAUUUGAGUCGUGACAUGUCAAUGGAGAACAAAAACUGUGAACACAAGAAGGGUCAUGUGUUCUGCGAGGUCCUGAAAACAUCCUGGCAAAAUGAGGUAAGAAAAUCGCUAACGUUAUCUUUAUUAUCUUUUGAAAAUAGUAAAGUAUUACCAGAGUUUACAAAUGGGUAGUUUAAAGGACAUGUAACCUGCAGAUAAAUAAAUACCCGUGUGUCUAUUUUUGCAUUGCUUUAUCACAGAUGAUCAAGUUAGAUGCUCACCUAAUGUGUUGCUGAGUCAUCAAGGAUCCAGCUUGUUCUUGAAACAUUGAAGUUUGCACUCUGCAAGUAAACAACGCCUUGUGGUGCCAUCCCAAAGAGGUUCGAAAUCACUCUCAAGGACCUUUUCCUGGACUGUGCCCAGCUGGUGGAAUGACCUCCUGAUCUCAAUUCGUACUGCUGAGUCUUUCCUCAUUUUCAAGAAACAUCUUAAGACUCAUCUUUUCCACCAGAACUUAACCAACUAAUGCUAGCACUUUUCCUUCUUUUCUUGUCUUUCAUAUAAAAAUAAAACAACCCUGGCUUUGCGUUCUGUACUAGACUGAUUGAAACUUGUCAUGGCACUUGUAUACUGUUGUUCUUCGCUUGUACACCUGACUGCUUCUGUUGUUCUCAUUUGUAAGUCGCUUUGGAUAAAAUCGUCUGUUAAAUGAUUAAAUGUAAAUGUUUAUACAGGACGGUAGAGAAAGUGCACAAGUGGGAGAGAGUGGAGGGGACGGCGUCAGAAAGGAACUAGCGCUGGGACACUUUCAAGGAUCACCCGAAGCACAACCACACUGUAUGCACGAGGCUGCUGUUUCUAACAUUUUAGAGUGCCCUGCGGUAGAAAUCUCAUUCUGCAUUCCCCACAGUAAAGAAGACACAGUCCGGGGGGGUUCCCGUUAGAAAUCAACUGGUUGAAGGUUCCCUGCUCGUACUGUGCAACACAUUUUCACUGCACAAAUGUACACAACUUAAAAUAAAAGAUCCACUGGUUUCAGUCAUAAAGGUACAAGGUCUUGUAGGUGCUGCAAAAAAUAUGCAUUUAUGUGCCAAAUUAUUUUACAAAAACCUUUUAAUAUUAUUUAAUUUGGAUUGUUAUACUACAUGUUUUUAGCAUUACCUCCAUGCAUACUCUGCAUAAUAAAGUGUGGGAUUAUUUUCAUCUGUUUUAUACAGUAUGUUUCCAAAA